AAAUUUCAAAACACAAGAAGCAAAACUGCCAGAACUGUAAGGAGACAACACAACAAUUAUAGUCAGAGAUCACAACCAGGAUCCCAUUUCAAAACUUAAGGAGACAGGGCCAGGGAUUUAGCUCAGUGGUUCCGCUGCCUGCCUCGAAAGCGAAAGGACCCGAGUUUGAUCCCUGGUACCAAAAAACAACAACAACAAAACUUGAGGAGACAAGUAGCCAUCAACCCUAGCAAAAGUAGAGAAGACUUGAAAGAUACUACCCAUAUCAACGUUUAUGGAAUACACCACCAAACAAUGGCAGAACAGACAUGCUGUCCACUGUACACACAAAAUUUACCAAAACAGACCAUAGUCUGGGCCCUCAAGCAAUUCUCAUGUAAAGGAAUAAAUUCACCCAAAGUGUGUUCUCUGACCACGGUGGACAUAAACUAGGCAUCAAGAACACAAAGAUUUCUGGAAAAUCUCCAAAUGUUUAGAAACAAGAAAGCAGAGCUAUCCAAACACCUAGUAGUCCGAGAACAAAUCAUUUAAGGAAUCAGCAUUUUGAAGCAGACUGAGGUGGAAGGAGCAUGUCAGAUCUGGACGUCGGCCUCCUCUGGUUUAAGUGAGCACCCGCAUGACUCCACACUGUCCCAGCUUGAAGACGCCUCAAUUCGCUUCCCACAUGACUCGUGCAGUCGGCUGACCCACUCAUCGGGUCCUACAGCUCUGCUCUCCUCUCCACCGUUGGCCGCUCUGUUUGCUUCUCUGGCCCACGUAUGUCUCACUAUUACGAGUUCUACAGUAAAGCAACAGUUGUAGUUUAAAUGGAUCCAGAGUGGGUACCUUUUGCCUGUUUCCUUCUCAAUCUGUUUCCCCGGGCAGUGCGCUAGGUGCUCCCCUGGCCCCUCCAGGGCAGCGCCCCCUGGCCACAACUCCACCCACUGCCUUCAGUCUCUCACCCAGGGACAAGGCCACUGGAUCUAGGAUUCUAGGUUGGCGGGUUUUUUUCUCGCAACAUUUGAGGCCUCUCACUUCAUUCGUGCUUUUGUUGGAUGUAGGUGCAAAAAUUCUCAGCUAAACGUUAGCAAAUUGCGCCUCACAUAUGAAAAAGCAAACCCAUCCCGACCCUGGGGUUCGUCCAGGAGUGCAGCUGGAAAUUGGUGUGUGUCACCUCAGUCACAGGUCCGAAUGAGGAGAACCCGGUCACCCACGCGGUCACCCGGAGAGCGGAUCCGCACUCCUGUGAGCGUCAGCUUCAGACGCCCCAAGUCACGUGAGGAGGCGGGGUCACGUGGUCCUGGGGGCGGUGCUCAGGGCGGAGGCGGCUGCGUCUCAGGGCCGCGGGCGCUCGCGCGCUUCCGGCUGAGGUCGCCUGUGUGGGUCCGUGACGGUGGCUCCCAGCCUCGCGCCCUUGAUGAGACCCCGUGCCGCGUCCACGCUCAGGGUGCAGCCUGUGCAGGCAAACUCAAAACUCAGCGGGAGGGAUCUGCGUCUGACAGGCGCCUGGCUGCGCUCGCCGCGCGGGACGCAGACUCGCGAGGGAGCAGGCAGGGCGCCGACCUCCUCAAGGGGCCGAGCCGCGCCGGACCGACUCCGGGCAGGAGGGCCCGGGUUCUGCAGGAGCUUUGAGUUGGUAGCGUCCGAGAUCCCAGAUCUGCAAACAGCAGCCCACGGCAGCCCAGCCCUGGCCUGGACUGGGCUCAGAGGACCCUUACUGAGCCAGAGGAGUGCAGCCCGACCCUAGGAUCAGCGUGCUCCUGGACCGGUAUGUGGCCACACCCGUGUGUAGAGAGCAGCACCAAGGUCCUUUGCUGGGGAGUGGAGCCGCCCGGGGAUCAGGAGGGGCACAGCAGGGCGCUGGCCUGGCAGCUCGCAGGUAGAGAUUUCUAGAGCUCUUCUCCAAACACGUCUUCAGUUUCUCAAACACCGCCCCUCUCCGGCUCUCCCUUUCCCCUCUCUCCCUCCCUGCCUGCCGGUGCCAGGUGGAGGCAGCUGCCGGGGCACUCCCUGAGGAGGCACCGUGCUCAGCUGGAAACCAGAUCCUUUCCUCAUCCGCUCUGCAGCCCCAGCCAGGCCGGGCAGCCUAAUUGGAUCCCGGCUCCUGGGCGGGCCGCGCUAACCUGAUUGCUUUCCUGCGGUUCCCUCAGUGUGGUGCAGCGCUGCGUGUGCCCUCCGCCCGCUUCCUCCUUGGCAUCUGCGCUGGUGUCUGUGCCACGACCUUGGGGCCCAGGCCCGCUCCUCCCUCCUCUCAAGGCCUCUCUGGACCUGGCAUUGUGCUAAACACACGCACACAGAGCUGCUUUCUGCAGGGUGCAAGUGGCCAGACAGCCCCAAGGGUGUCAGCGCUCCUCCUCCUCCGCCACAGUGCCUGACGCAAACUGCAGACCGCUGUGGGAGGAAAGGUGGCAUGGCGCGGGUGGGUUCAGAUCUCUGUGGGUGGCCGGGAGCGGACAGGGCCAGGGACAGGUGGGGAGGGAGGGUCAGGCAGGCACAGAUUUCCGUGGCUCCAGACACCGCAUCCACCCCUGACCCUCCGCUGACCAGGUCGCCUCCCCAGAACCAUCGGCAGCCAAGCCUGUGACGUGGGGAGGCGUUGGCACAGCGUGCACAGCCUGCAGGGGAGCAGGUCAGAGUGUGCGGAAUGCAGGUGGUAGGGUGCAGGAUGGUGGCACCUGCUGGCCGGUGACCCCGAGGCUGGAACUCUGGGCAAGGGCUGGGCAACCCAGGGCUGGGACUGCGGGAGAGGGUGAGGAGCACCUUCACCUGUCGGGGAGGGUCUGGGUGCAGCUGGGUCGCCUCCCGGGCUGGGCUGAACGCUGCCUUACCCCAGAGGCCCCUGCUGGGCACACUCACCCCCAGCAGGGGAAGCAGCCCAGCCUCCUCCUGGUCUGUAACUGCAAGUCUGGAAGGGAAGCGCUCUUUCUUGGGUGGUCUGGGCUGGGGAUGUCAAUCCUGGAAUGGCUGCAGCUACUCUGAUACCACGAGGGAAGCCGCCUGGAGGAUAGAGCAGAGGAGGCACGUGGUGCACUGCGUAGCUGAGAUUUGUAGAGCGUUGUGACUGGAACCUGGGCACCUCUUACCGGAAGCCACCCUCCCCUGGACUUUCUAGCGUUGAGGUCAACGUUAAUCAUGACAAAUGUUUAAGCUGGUCUGUUGGCCAUCCAUGAGGCUCAGCAGAUCUCCCUGGCCUUUCCAGCCCGGAGAGCUGCUGGGCCCUCAAGGCCCGAGUGCAUGUUGAGGGUCCAGGCCCGCCCUGCGGCAGAGACAAGCAUGGUAGCGCAGUGCCGCCCAGCGGGGAUGCCAGGGCGGAGGCGUGGCACCUUCCACCGUGUCCCGGGAGGAGGGAGUGUGAAGCAGCCGCCUGACUGUGCUCAGCCGACUCUGGAUGCCAGGCAGGCAGCUGCUCUCCCGAGGCUUGUCUUCCCCAUCGGACUUGCAGGAUCCCAGAUCCUCGUCCUGGCCCGGUCUGUUUCCCGCUCCGACUGCUGGAUGCCGCUGUCUCUCCUCCAGGCUGCACCUCCCACCUCUGCCCCUGAGAAACCACCAGGGGCCAGCAAUGCUGUUUCCUCCCAUCUGAAUUACUUUUGUUUAUUCUUCUGAAACGUGCGAGUCUUCGUGUGUGGGGAUCCGCACCCCAGUGACCCUGUGUCUGGGCUCCCACAGUGUGUGCCAGACCCCACCGGCCUGCGACGAUGCCCACGCUGUUUCCCGCAGCUGCUGUCCUAUGGCCGUGCCUGGCUCUGUGGGCUCCCUGUGGUCCUGACCCGUCCCACUCUGCAGUGUGUGGGGUCCAUGCCGCCUGGGAAGCUCCGGGCUGCCACUCCUCACUCCAACCCUAGGCCUGACCCCGGUGCCCCCAGGCGGGCAGACAGCCCAACCUCCUCUUCCCCGUGAGCCCUGCGCACGGCUUCUGGUCACACUUUGUGUCUGGAGCCGCUGUCUUGAGGGGCUGGGGUGCUGCUGACCACUCCCCGCAGCACGGAAGAGCAGCGAGGCAGCCCAAAGCCGGGAGGCCCCAGCCCUUUCCAAGGGGAGAAGGCCUGGCCCCGGUGGGAGGUCCUGGGGGCCCUGUGGGAGGCGGGGCGACCUCCAGGCCCGCAGCCCCUGAGUGGCAGCCGGGUCAGCACACGCCGGGCUCAGGGCGUCCACUUUGCUCCCCACAAGCCAGCUCUCAGGCUGAUCAGUAUGUGAGGCACAGACGCCCUGUCUCGGGCCCCGCCCUGCACUGUGUCGCCCUCCGUCCUGUGCUCCAUUAGCUAAUUACCCCUCUUACCGUCCUUCCUUCGAUUGUGGGAUAGAAGCUGGCUGCCUCUCCUCGCUCUUUCCAGCCAGCGCCUCCUUUGUCCUCUGCUCCUGUCUUCCUCUGUCGACAGCUGGGACCUUCUCAGGUCUCCUUUGGCCUGGCCCUGCCUGCUCCCACCCAGGACAGGAUUUUCCACGGAUUGAGGCCGAGGAGACAGGAGGCCACGGAGCCUGAGUCCUCUGGGACUGGCUCAGGACGGAAUUCCCAACAUGAGGCAGAUGCUUCCUGUGUGGGCUCCUGGCCUUCGUGCUCAUCGACCUGCAGAUUGGCUUUUUGGGCUGGGACGUGGGGCCAUGGGGCUCCCUGUGCCCUGGAGAGGCUGGUUCCCUCCUGGUAACCAGGGUGCUGGGGCUCCGGGGUUCACCUGAUCGGAGCCCUUGAGAUCAGCCAGGUCCCACACAGGCUGGUGUGGUACAGGGCUGGGAGGUGCCAUGCCCCAUUCCACCUGUGCCCUUGCUCCUGAUGCAGGCAGGACCCUCAGGAUGGGGUGAUGGCUGGGCAUAUGUGGCCUCUCCAUGGGCAGAGCUGCCCUCCUGAACCGGUCUUGCUGCCCUGUGGUCUGUGCAACUCUGCCCACCCCCACGUUUCCGGUAGAAGCCAGGCCAGGGUCUGUUGCCCUCGCCUGUCCCUGGCAGGACACUUUCUUAAUGACCUUUCUACCAUGCUGCGUCUGCGUGGGAGCCAGUGGACCAGAGACUGACACAGUGGCCCAAAUAAGCCUCUUCUCCUUUAGGUUGUGUCUCAGUGAGGAGGAGAAUGGGUAAGACAGGACCCUGCCCGGGAGCUCCCCCGCCCUCCUGAGGACCCCGGGGCUUGGAGACAGAACAGUCAGCUGCAGGCUCCCGGCCCUGGGCCACGGGCUGUGCCCUCACUGCUCUCCCUUGGACUAGGGAGUUACUUGCCCCGUCAUGAGCGGAGGAGGGGCUGAUGCAGGACCCCCCCUGGGGACCUAGGACCGGUAGACAGUUUUCCUGAGCUCGGUUAAGCAGAUUCCAGCUCCCGCCAGGCAAUGUGGACCUUGGGAAGGAGGGGCUGAGCGGCGGCUGCCCAGCUGGGAGAUACGUGCACUGUGACCCGCUACAGGGUCUGGCUGGAGACCUCAGAGCUCCAUGGGCCAAUAUUUCUGCCUUUGUGGGCCCCUUCCGUGCAAAUAUAGGAACUUCUGUUUUCUAACGGUGUUGAUAAAAAUGUUUGACUUUUUUUUUGGUACUGGGGAUCAGACUCAGGAUCCUGCACUUUCGAGACACGCAACAAGAACCACUGAGCUAAAUCCCCGGCUCCUCUUUGACAUUUUUAACAUUACAUAUAAGCAUUUUCUUCAGCCUAAAUGUUUUUCUUUUCUUACGAGGUAGGCAGUGACUAUAGCACUCCCCUGGUCCUGCGGGGGUCACUCAGAAGGCAGGGAUUGGGGUUCGGCAGCGGUGGGCACUGGGCACUCAGUGGUCGGAACCAGGGUGUGGAGACAUCUGGGUGCCGUGGGGGCAGGACGAUUCCCGCCUGCUGUGGGUCAGGGAUGGCAGUUGGACCCCGGCCUGGGACGUCACCUGCCAUCUGAGCGAGUAGCCUGGUCGGUCUGCAGGGAACUGUCGCUCUGAGAAGAGCCUGCCCACCAUCUGCUCUCACCAGGAUGCUCCCCUCUCAGCCUCAGGCCAGCUCCAGGGUGUCUGUCGGGCUCCUCGAGCUGUCUGCUGUGACACGUGUGUCCCUGUCCACUCACUCAGAUCUUUCCGUCCCUGCCCCAGCCUGCUGUGGCCACCAGGAGAAGCGCUGGAAGCUUGGGAGAGGACAGGAGUCAGCCCAAGCCGAGCCUGUGUGGAGGGACAGGAGAGCUAGCAGCUGGUCAGCCGAUGUCAGGGGCCUCCUUCCUGCCCCGUCCCUCCCCUCCUGGUGUCCACAGGAGAAGGUGGCCUAAGCCUGGCAGACACAGCUGCUCCUGCAAUCCUGGGCCCUGGCUGGUCUGGGCGCACCCCCAGUGAUCAUGUGCCCCCAGACUGCGCAUGAGGAAUGCUGAUCAGUCUCCCUGUGUCCCAGACACGCUGCAGCUCUGUGACAUCAGGAAGGAAAGGAACAGAGACAGGGCUGGCUGGGACUUGGGGAGCAGGGCAAGGGCCUGGGGAAUGCAGACAGCUGGCAGGGGCCGCAUGGGAAGCAAGUGCUGUCACUGGUGGGGGUGGCCCACACCUGGCCCCAGGGCUGAAGGAGUCAUAGGGACUUCUUGCUGCCCCUGUCCGUGCUCGGUAGGCACUGGUUUGCAUUCAGCUGUGGGCUCAGCCAGGCCCUAGGGCUCCAACCAAGGCCAGUGCCAGGCCCAGCAGCCCUGUGUAUGGCUGAGUGACCUCACAGGGCUCUGGGGGUUGAGGUCAUUGGUGGACAGGAUUCAGAACUUCUGUGGCCAGUGGCUGCUCUGCCCUGUGGCACUUUGGACUGUCGUUUUUCAUUGCCCAUCCCUGCUGUGGGCUAGAGGAGCCGAGCCUUGGGCCUCGACCUGCUGGGGACCCCGUGUGGGUGGGGAGAUGGUGAACUUAGAGCUGCUCUGGGGGAGAGGGCCGGGUUUUGGGGAGGCAUGAGUUGUGGCCGGAGUGAGGGUGAACCAUGGUGUGUUCUACAGCCACGUGGUCAAUGUCACAGGAAACGGGGCCUCAGAGGAGCAGAGCAUGGCGAGGUGGCCAGAGCUGCCUCCCGGCUGCCCCUUCCCGCCUGAGAUGGCCAUGCUUGGGAGGAGCUGCCACAUGACAGAGGGGGACCAGGAGGGGACACCAGGCAGCAAGUGAGUCAGAGGGAGGUAAGGAGAGCAAAGCUAUGGGCAGGGCCCCCCGCCAGGUCACAGCCUGGUGCAGAGGGUGAGGGACGCCAGGGACCUGGCUGCGUGGAUUCUGGAAGCUCCGUGAGCUUCUCUGGGACCGUGGUGGUGUGGCUUGGGCGGUGCCUGCUUCCUGAAGUGGAGGCCGAGGUCCCCACCCUCAGGGUGGGCACGGUCCUGGUUGGAGUCACCCGGAAACAGCAGUGGCCCACAGGCAGCAGCAGCGGUGGCGGUAUCUGAGAUGAGCCUACCCAGAGGCUGUGAGGGUGCCAGCAACAGAGAUUCCAAGAGGCAGAGGGGGACGCGCAAGGUUUUUGCCCAGAAGGUCCCUCGUAUUUUGGUACACAUUUCAAUUUUCACAGUAAGCAGACUGCUUCCAAAUACUGUGUUUCUUUUCCACUGAAAACAGACUCUGCGUGAUUAUUUCUGUUACCAAUUUGAUUUGACACAGUAACUGGGAAACCAGCUGGGUACCUUUCACGAGAGUUAAUCAAUCAGAUUUUUUAAAGGCUUUUCUUUUCGCCUUUUCUUUUUAAAAAUUGAUGUAAAACUAGAUAAUCUCUGUGCAUGAUAAAAUUGAAACAUGAUACAGGAGUAACACGACGAAAAGAAUAAAGUAAGUUUCUGCUCUGCCUCA